rnacentral:rRNA from 1 species
CCUACGGGAGGCAGCAGUGAGGAAUAUUGGUCAAUGGGCGCAAGCCUGAACCAGCCAAGUCGCGUGAGGGAUGACGGUCCUAUGGAUUGUAAACUUCUUUUAUAUGGGAAUAAAAUGUUCCCCGUGUGGGAUUUUGUAUGUACCAUAUGAAUAAGGAUCGGCUAACUCCGUGCCAGCAGCCGCGGUAAUACGGAGGAUCCGAGCGUUAUCCGGAUUUAUUGGGUUUAAAGGGAGCGUAGGUGGAUUGUUAAGUCAGUUGUGAAAGUUUGCGGCUCAACCGUAAAAUUGCAGUUGAAACUGGCAGUCUUGAGUACAGUAGAGGUGGGCGGAAUUCGUGGUGUAGCGGUGAAAUGCUUAGAUAUCACGAAGAACUCCGAUUGCGAAGGCAGCUCACUGGACUGCAACUGACACUGAGGCUCGAAAGUGUGGGUAUCAAACAGGAUUAGAUACCCCGGUAGUC